rnacentral:rRNA from 1 species
CAGCCGGUACUCGCGAAUGCUCUAGAUUUAAAGUUGAUCAUGGCUCAGAUCCGAACGCUGGCGGCAGGCCUAACACAUGCAAGUCGAGCGGUAACACAGGGAGCUUGCUCCUGGUGACGAGCGGCGGACGGGUGAGUAAUGUCUGGGAAACUGCCUGAUGGAGGGGGAUAACUACUGGAAACGGUAGCUAAUACCGCAUAACGUCGCAAGACCAAAGAGGGGGACCUUCGGGCCUCUUGCCAUCGGAUGUGCCCAGAUGGAUUAGCUAGUUGGCGGGGUAAAGGCCCACCAAGGCGACGAUCCGUAGCUGGUCUGAGAGGAUGAUCAGCCACACUGGAACUGAGACACGGUCCAGACUCCUACGGGAGGCAGCAGUGGGGAAUAUUUGGACAAUGGGCGCAAGCCUGAUCCAGCCAUACCGCGUGGGUGAACGAAGGCCUUCGGGUUGUAAAGCCCUUUUGUUGGGCAAAGAACAUCCAGCCGGCUAAAUACCCUAGGGUAGGGGAUGACGGGUACCAAAAGAAUAAGCACCGGNUAAACCUCGGUGCCAGCCAGCGCCGGUAAAUAACGANAAGGGGUGGCACAAGGC